AGUGAACGCUGGCGGUAGGCCUAACACAUGCAAGUCGAACGGCAGCACAGUAAGAGCUUGCUCUUACGGGUGGCGAGUGGCGGACGGGUGUAGCAUACAUCGGACUCUACUUUUUCGUGGGGGAUAACGUAGGGAAACUUACGCUAAUACCGCAUACGACCUUCGGGUGAAAGCAGGGGAUCUUCGGACCUUGCGCGAUUGAAUGAGCCGAUGUCGGAUUAGCUAGUUGGCGGGGUAAAGGCCCACCAAGGCGACGCUCCGUAGCUGGUCUGAGAGGAUGAGCAGCCACACUGGAACUGAGACACGGUACAGACUCCUACGGGAGGCAGCAGUGGGGAAUAUUGGACAAUGGGAGCAAGCCUGAUCCAGCCAUACCGCGUGGGUGAAGAAGGCCUUCGGGUUGUAAAGCCCUUUUGUUGGGAAAGAAAAGCAGCAGGUUAAUACCCCGCUGUUCUGACGGUACCCAAAGAAUAAGCACCGGCUAACUUCGUG
rnacentral:rRNA from 1 species